AGUCGUAACAAGGUAUCCGUAGGUGAACCUGCGGAUGGAUCAUUAACAAAGGUGUUUUUGAAGUUGUGUGAACAGUUGGAGGAGGUGGUGGUGGUGGUGGUAUUGGGUGGUACUGGGUGGUAUUGGGUGGUAUUGGGUGGUAUUGGGUGGUAUUGAGUGGUGUAACCUUGGUCUAACCUUGGUCUAACCUUGGUCAACCUCACUCAACCUCACUCUCCCAACCUCACUCUCCCAACCUCCACCACUCCGUCCCUAUAAUGUAUACAAACUGAUGUCUGCUAGUUUCAAACUAAAACAACUUUUAGCAACGGAUCUCUUGGCUCUC
rnacentral:misc_RNA from 1 species